UACGUAGGGUGCGAGCGUUAAUCGGAAUUACUGGGCGUAAAGCGUGCGCAGGCGGUUUUGUAAGCCAGAUGUGAAAGCCCCGGGCUUAACCUGGGAACUGCAUUUGUGACUGGCAAGCUAGAGUAUGGCAGAGGGGGGUAGAAUUCCACGUGUAGCAGUGAAAUGCGUAGAGAUGUGGAGGAAUACCGAUGGCGAAGGCAGCCCCCUGGGCCAAUACUGACGCUCAUGCACGAAAGCGUGGGGAGCAAACAGG
rnacentral:rRNA from 1 species